CCUACGGGGUGCAGCAGUGGGGAAUAUUGGACAAUGGGCGAAAGCCUGAUCCAGCCAUGCCGCGUGUGUGAAGAAGGCCUUCGGAUUGUAAAGCACUUUCAGUGGGGAAGAAAGCCUUGGGGCUAAUACCCUCGAGGAAGGACAUCACCCACAGAAGAAGCACCGGCUAACUCCGUGCCAGCAGCCGCGGUAAUACGGAGGGUGCGAGCGUUAAUCGGAAUUACUGGGCGUAAAGCGCGCGUAGGCGGUCUGAUAAGCCGGUUGUGAAAGCCCCGGGCUCAACCUGGGAACGGCAUCCGGAACUGUCAGGCUAGAGUGCAGGAGAGGAAGGUAGAAUUCCCGGUGUAGCGGUGAAAUGCGUAGAGAUCGGGAGGAAUACCAGUGGCGAAGGCGGCCUUCUGGACUGACACUGACGCUGAGGUGCGAAAGCGUGGGUAGCAAACAGGAUUAGAUACCCCUGUAGUC
rnacentral:rRNA from 1 species